rnacentral:tRNA from 1 species
GGGGAUGUGGCUCAGCAGUAGAGUUCUUGUCUUGCAUGCAUAAGGCCCUGGGUUCAAUCCCUACCACCACCA